CAUUAGAUGACUGAAAGUAAGUAAUGGUCUCUUAAACCAAUUAAUAGUAAGCUAACGUCUACUUCUAAUGA
rnacentral:tRNA from 1 species